UUAUAGCUGAAGAAUUCCAUCCUUCUAGGGUUUUGAAAUCCCUUUUUAAUUUGGCUUGUGAUUCCUCUUUUGAUGUUGAAUUUAAUUGCAACUGGAAUUCCUUAGGUGAGAAACUCUUUCGUGGCUCUUGGAAUUGUGUUGGUAGUGAUUGAGUUGGAUUUGGACUUCUGAAAAUUCGAAAUUCAGUUUCCUGCUGUUUUCCCGCCUCUGCUGUCAAUUUCUGCUGUCAAGGUGAUUUGGGCAGAUCACUUGCUCGAUCUGCCCCAAUCGCUCUCUGGGAUUCAGUCCAAUUUCUGUCUCUGUGAGUGAUUUGGCCAGUCUCUGCGAGUGAUUUGGGCAGAUCACUUGCCCAUAUCACUUCUGCCUGUUGCCUCCAGGUUUCUGCUUCAGCUUGAUCUGGGCAGUGAUUUGGGCAAAUCACUGACCCAAUCACUUUUCUGUCAUUUUCUGCACUUUUUCUCCAUUUUUCUAAUUUCUUCCUUUUCUGUAAAAACAAGGUAAAAACCAUAAAUUAAGCUAAAUAAUGUGUAAAUAAACAAUAAUAAAGAUAAUAAAAAUGUGGCUAAUUUAUGCUUGAUCAGUGAUCAUGCCCAUAUUUUGUAUAAUCGGUAUGAUGACUAUACUCAAGGGAGUCGAAGAGUGGAUGAAUAUACAUAGGAGUUUUUGAGGUUGCAGACGGAGUGUGAUGACUGUGAGAAUGAAGCUCAGCAGUUGCUCAUUAUUAGAGGGGACUAAAUCACGAAAUUCGCUAUAUGAUGGAAGUACCUGUGAUUUUCACUUUGGUAGAUGCCAUUGAGAUGGUGAAAAGAGCAGAAGAACAUGUUGAAUGGCAGCCUCAACAUCAGUCUAAUUUAAAUUUUAAUUACAGAAAUUCUGGUUCAAUAGGAAAUCAGCAAUACAGAGGUAAUUACAGCGGACAACCUUCUAGAGCUGUAAAUUUUAGCAAUCAUUAUACUACUAUGGAAGAAAGGAGAGAUGGUAAAGAAAAGACAGUCAUCAAUAUAGCAGACAAAGGAGGCAAAAUCAAUCCUUUUCAGAAAUCAACCGGAGACAUGUUAUCGCUAUAGGCAACCUGGACAUCGAUUGAAUAAUUGUCCAGAAUGCAAAGGAGCUAGUAAUGAUCGUCAACAUAUUAAUUUGGUUGAGGAGAUGGUUGAAUUUGAGGAGGAAGAGGAUGAAGAUGAUGGGUCUAUUGCUAAUUCUGAAGAUGUGAAGGUUACCUAUAUGGUGAACAAAAUUCUAUAGUCGACGAAACAGAAGGACGAGACACAAAGGAGGAAGAUCUUCUAGGCAAAGUGUCGAGUGUGAGAAACGAUUUGCAUGCUAAUUAUAGAUAAUUGCAGUUGUGAGAAUUUGAUAGCGAAGUAAUUGGUGGAGAAACUGCAACUGCCUACACAGCCUUAUCCUUUGCCAUACAAAGUUGGAUGGAUUAAGGAAGGUCUAACAAUUGAAGUCAACAGAAUCUGCAACAUACCUAUUUCUAUCAGUUACACUAAAUCUGUUAAUUGUGAUGUUGUAGAUAUGGAUUACUGUAGAAUUUUGUUAGGUCGUCCUUGGCAGUUUGAUGUUGAUACUUUGCAUAAGGGAAAUGAAAAUUCGUACAUAUUUACAUGGAAUGGGAAGAAGAUUACUAUUUUGCCUUCUGGUUCUGCAAAACAUUAUAAAGUUGAAGGGAAAACUGUUGUUGGUAUUUCUACAGGAGUGCAAAGAUUACCAGACACAGUUGAAAAAUCUGGAGGUACAUUGGCUUUAUUAGUGAGAGUAAAAGGUGAAGUGGAGGAUGCACCAUCUUUACCACCACCUAUCAAAGAGCUGUUGGAAGAGUUUCUUAGGGUAGUGAAGGAGCCUCCAAAGCUUCCACCUUUAUGGGAUAUUCAACAUCUGAUUAAUCUCAUUUCUAAAUUCAAAUUAUUGAAUCUGCCUCAUUACAAAAUAAGUCCAAAGGAGAGCGAAAUCUUUUAGGAACAAGUUGAAGAUUUAUUAAAGAAGGAGCACAUUCGAGAGAGCAUUAGUCCCUGCAGAGUCCCUGCCUUAUUAGUUCCAAAGAAAAAUGAAACUUGGAGAAUAUGCAUGGAUAGCAGAGCCAUCAAUAAGAUUACAGUUUAGUAUCGAUUUCCUACCCUCACUUGGAUGACAUGUUGGAUCAAUUAUCAGAGUCUAAAGUCUUCUCAAAGGUCGACCUUAAAAAUGGCUAUCACCAAGUUCAAAUUAAGGAGGGAGAUGAAUGGAAGAAAACCUUUAAAACUAAGAAAGGUUUGUACUAGUGGUUAGUUAUACCGUUUGGUUUGACGAAUGCACUUAGCACAUUCAUGCGACUUAUGGACCAGGUUUUGCACAUUUUCUUAUGCAAAUUUGUAGUUAUUUAUUUUGAUGAUAUUUUAAUUUUUAAUCGCAGUGUAGAAGAAUAUUUACAACACCUCCGUCAAGUCAUGACAGCCUUGUAAGAAAAUGAGCUGGUUAUUAAUUAAAAAAAAUGCAUUUAUAUGAUGGAAUGUGUUCCAUUUGUUGGAUAUGUUAUUAGUGCAGAAGGGAUACAUGCUGAUGAGAAAAAGGUAGAAGUAAUGCAGAACUGACCUAUUGCUAAAAAUAUUUCAGAAGUUCGCAACUUUGAUGGAUUCGCUACUUUCUAUCGGCGGUUUAUCAGAAAUUUCAACAAUAUUGUUGCUCCUAUCACAUAUUUUUUGAAGAAAGAGAGGGUAGAAGUUUACUUGGAUUGAAAUUGACAACAAAAGUUUUGAGGAGAUUAAAGAUAAGCUUACUUUUGCCCCUAUUCUUACUCUACUUGAUUUUUUGAUAAACUGUUUGAGGUGAAAUAUGAUGCUUGUGGAUUUGGGAUUGGCAGUGUGUUAUCGUAGUCUAGUAGGUCAAUUGCCUUCUUUAGCGAGAAAUUAAAUGAUGCUAGGAAGAAAUAGUUUACCUAUGAGCAAGAAUUGUAUGCAGUGUUUCGGGCCUUUAAGACUUGGGAACAAUAUCUGAUGAGGCCAGAGUUUAUUAUUCACAUAGAUCAUCAAUAUUUGAUUCAUUUUAAGACUAAAAAAUAUGUGAAUAAAAUACAUGCUCGAUGGGCAACAUAUUUUGGAGUUUUUCAUUAUGUUAUAAAAUAUAAGAUUUGCCAUAGUAAUAAGAUAGCAAACGCUUUGAGUAGGAGGGCUGCUUUGUUGAUUAUAAUUAGUCAGGAGAUUGUAGAUUUUGAAUUUUUAAAGAAUUAAUAUGUUGCAGAUGAUGAUUUUGCUGAUAUAUAGGCGAAGGUCCAGGCUCGUCAACCUGCUGAUGAGUUUUUGAUACAUGAUGGUUUUUUUUUAAGGAGAACAAGUUAUGCAUUCCUCGUUUUUCUCUGCAAAAAAAAUUGAUUUGAAAGGUCCAUGGUGGAGGUUUGAGUAGUUAUUUAGGGCACGAUAAGACUAUUACUGGUUUAGAUGAGCAUUUUUAUUGGCCAUAAUUGAAAAGGGAGACAGGUCGGAUGGUACAGAAGCAUCCAAUUUGUCAAACUCAGAAGAGUUAUUCGCAGAAAACGGGCUUAUACACUCCGUUACCUAUUCCAGAAUAUCCUUGGGGGGACUUGUCUAUGAAUUUUGUUCUUGAUCUUCCACGUACUCAACGUGGAUCUGAUUCUAUUUUUGUUAUCGUUGACAGGUUCUCCAAAAUAGCGCAUUUCAUUCAUUGCAAGAAGUCUAAUAAUGCUUCUCAUAUUGCAAAACUAUUUUUCCAGGGGGUUGUUCAUUUAUAUGGCAUUCUUAAUACCAUAGCUCACUUUUGGGUGACUUUAUAGAAGCGUUUUAGGACUGAACUUCGAUACAGCAGUGCUGCUCAUCCUCAAACUGAUUACCAAACUGAAAUGGUGAACUGCACUCUUGGCAAUAUUUUGCGUUGCAUCUACAGUGAUAAGAAAACUGCUUGGGAUCUUGCUCUUGUCCAAGCAGAAUUUAUUUACAAUAGUUCUAUCUACAACUCUAUAAAAAUAUCACCAUUUGCAGUUAUGUACAGGAAAAUUUCAGUGCAUACAGUUGAUCUUAUUGCCCUUCCUAUAGGUUUUCAUAACAGUAUUACAAUAGACAACUUGGCAACUCAGCAUGUGGAUAUUUUCAAACAGGUACAACAAUGUCUUACGGAAACUAAUGAUAAGUAUAAAACCGCAGCUGAUAAACAUAGGCAUUUUAAGUCAUUCAAUGUCGGUGAUCAAGUUAUGAUAUUUUUGUGUAAAGAACGUGGUGGUAGACAGAAAAAACUUGACCUAAAGAAGAUUGGUCCAUUUCAGAUUGUUUAGAAGAUUAAUGACAAUGACUAUGUUCUUGACCUCAUAGAUUAUAUGAAAGUUUUCAAAACGUUUAACGUGGCGGAUCUAUUUCAGUAUUACCCUACUAAUGAGAACUCGAGGUCUAGUUCUUUACAAGUGGAAGGGAAUAAUACUGAACGAUUAGUCUUGGAUUUUAUGGAAGACAUGGACUGAACCUAACUUCUGCUUAUGACAUUCGUUGGAGGCCCACAAUAGCUUUUUAGAAAGAAAAUUUUGAGACGGACGACUUUCAAAUAUAUGAUAAGAGCCGCAGGUCUGUGGCAAAAUUCGAGACCCAAAUUCCAUUGUUUAGAUAAUCAAUUUUAUAUUUUAAUUUUUUUUUAAAAUUUUUUCAUAAAUUUUUCUAUUAAGAUUUUACUAUUAUAAAUAGUUUUUUUGUGGUGGCACUUUAGAAUUUUUGAGAAUUUAUAAGAAAUCUCGAGUUUUAAUUUUUCUGAAAUUUGUUUUAAUCAAACGAUAUUGGUUAAAAUUCAUAAUGAAAUAUAAAUAGUCAUAUUUUAAUAAAUCAUCCUGCUUCAGAUAUUAAAGUAACAAUUAUAUACUCGCGGCUAAGAUAUUGCUACUUAAAUAUAAAGUGUAGUAGUCUUUUAUAUAAACUUAAUAAAAAUAAAUAAAUAAACUAAAUUAUGAAUACAACGAGUAAAAAUAAUAUGCAAUAAGGGCUAAUAAGUCCUAAAUAGAUUUGUAUUUUAUAGUUUGGAAGGCUUUAUUAAUAAAUUAUAUACUAUAUUUUAUCCUUACAUUUUAGAUUGGAUGCUUAUUUCAAUGGUUUGGUUGUAUAUUGAUCCUUAUUUUUCUCUGCAACACUGCUUUGUAAAAGCAUAAUAACUUUAACAAUAUGCACAAAAAUUAGUUCUUUGAAAAUAUAUGUUGUAUUUUUACGAUCCAAAUUAUUUAGUAGUAUAGAGGUAAAAUACAAAAACUUUCAUAAAUUCUAUUUGCUUAGUUUAUGUGAAACUGUCAUAUAACUAAAUAGAUGAAUACUUUUAUUAUAAAUUGAUAGAUUAUUCAAUAUUAAACAACGCUAAUUUAAUAGACCUACUUCUUGAUUGAUGUUUUUUUUUUGAAAAAAAACUUGUUUACAUGGAUACUUUCAAAGUUUUUUUUUUUUGAAAAUGAGAUUUGAUUUUUGUAAAAGAAAAAAAAUUCAUUAUGCCUUUUCAAUUCAAGAGAAAAGAAAGGCAUCUUGAUUCUUGAGUAUCCAACAUAUACCCAACUUCUCCAAGGCUAUAAAGCAAAAGGUAUAGCCCCUAUACAAUCCUACAAGGCAACGAGAAUGAAGGAGAGAGAAAGAUGGGAAAGAAAUUAAGGGAAGGUGGGGCAGUUUCUUCUAGAUAAUGAAAAAUUGGCUGUGACCCAUAUUAGGGCUUGUGGGCAAUUUUAUGUGAAAUAGGGUCAACAAUGAAAAUCAACAGUUUCUCCACUAGACUGUGAGUGACUAUGUGACCCAUGAGGUCAAUGUUCUAUCAACUUCAAUACAUUUAAGUUGUGAAAAUGGCUUCUAUUAAAUCAAUCAAUUAACUUAUUAACACAUAAUUGAUAUUAGGGAAUGUGCAAUUUGGCUUUCCUUAUAUUGCAAAUUGGAUUUCAUUUUUCAAAUCCCUAAUAUUCCCCUUUUCUUGGAUAGUCAACUAAUAUGUCUCUUUAAUUAGCAAUUGUUAUGAUACAGUUUUUUUUUUAAUUUAAUAAGAUAGUGUAUGGAUCAAAUUUAUGCAAUGUAUUGAUUAAUUUUUAUUUUUGGUCGGAUAUAAAAACAAAUAAUAAUAAAAAAAUUUUAUGCGAUCUCCAGUGUAGAAGUCAAUAAUAUAUUCAACUAAUUAAAAAAUUAAAAUAUUAAUAUCUGAAUUUUACUUUUCUUUAAUUUUAAACAACGUGUCAACUUGAAUAAAUGUAUGCAUGAAUUUUCCUGUAAAAAAAAAUAUUUGGUCCGAUUCAAAAUACAAAUAACUACUUAUAAAAUUGAAAUAAAAUUGAAAGAUUUACCAAGAGUAUGACUUUUCUUUUUUGAGAAGGUGGAGUUCGAUAAUAUAUGAGAGGCAAUUACCAAAUUAUUUGAAUCUAAUUACUAAAAAAAUUCAAGAAUAAAGAGAUUUAUUUAUUUGAUUAAUGUGUAUAUAAAAGUUUUAGUCAAUUACUAUUAAUAUUGAGGGAUUGAUUUUUUUUUUUAUUUGUGCUAUAAUUUAUUCUAAAUGGGACUUGAAUAUGAGAUUUGAUAAUUUAAAAUUCAGAAAUAAGUAGAGUUUUUAUGUGUGUGAAAAAUUUUAAUCUGGAUGCGUCGUGUUUCUCUUUUUUAUUAUUUUUUUUUAUUCUCUAGUAAUGUAUAACUGUCACCUUAUUACAGUGUCAUCUGUCGCUGUCGCACAGAGCCGUACGUAUGAGCGUAUCUGCUUGUCCAUCUUCGCCAGACGGCCAUUUAAUUCCAUUUCGGCGCCCGUGCUGAUAGGGUUGCAGCAUAGCUAGACUUCUCUUACUUCCCAUCACAUCUGAUGAGCUGGUUUCUCUCUGACUUGCUUCAAUCGCGAGUUGGGUGGUGUGCUGAUGGGUCAACCUAUACAGUGAGCUUUGAUGGAUUUUGAGUCUAAUUUUUCUUUCGGGACUCGAUUUCAGUCUGAAUGACAGUGGCCAGUGCCGUCAUAAAGAUUCAUAUCCUAGAAAUAAUUCUAAUCUUAUAGAAUUAAAAUUUGUUAAUAUUAAGAUAAUAAUUUUUUUACUAUAUAAUUUGGCCAAAUUCCACAUCUCAUUUAUUAGGUCAAUAAUACAAUGUGAUUCAGAUCUAGUAUUAUUUAAAUUAAUUUUAAUUAAAGUAGUAAUCCAAUAAAUAAGAGAAAAUGUAAUUAUUAAUAAAAGAAAUUUUUUUUAAAAAUCUUUCAGGAAGAAAAAUAUUUUCUAAGAAAUUAAAAAAGUCAUUUUUAAAGUAAUUAUGAAAAUAUUUUUUAUUAAUUAUGAUGAAAUUUAUAUGAAAUCUACAAUAAUUCAUCACUGUAUUGAAAAAUAAGAAAGCAAAUUAUGGAGUGUUUCAUUUUUCCGAGAAACGCAUGAUCAAACUAAUUUCAUUUUGAAGAAAUUAACUAAAAAAAUGAUGUAAUUGGUGAAAAGAGAGAAUCAUUUUUGUCAGAAGGAAAUCUACGGUGAGGGCAAGCAAGUUCUCAAGCGUGUUGACUUGAGAAUUCCAUCACAUCUUCUGAUUUUAUUCCUUUUUUUUUUUUUGCCUAUGAAUAAAAUUUAGUAACAGAAAUUUUACAUGGCUCAAUGAUUGGAUUUUUAUUUCUCUUUAUUUUAGGUUUCAAGCCUCCAGCUCCAAUUUCCUCUUCUUCUCUUAAAAAAGGAAAAAAAAAAAAAAACUGAUAUGCAGUCUCUUCACUUUCUUUCUGAUUUCUGUUUUUGAAGUAUCUUCAUUGGUAAAGCCUAAAAAGAGGCAACAUUAGGGACAGGGGAAACUGAACAAGUAAAAAAGACAGUAAGACAACCUCAUAAUUCACAAAGGGCCAUCACAUUCUGACAUAUUCAGACAAGGAAUUACAUGUCAAAGAAGAAAUGCAAGAUAAACCAUUCCAUGCAUCCUCCAUAGGUGAGCUCCCCAUUCAAAAAUCUCACCCCUAGAGGGUGGGUAGACAUCUCCAAAUACUAAAGAGAAGUGCAAGCUAAACUAAAAAGGGUAACAAAAAAAAAAAACCAAAAAUAUAAAGAAAAUAGGGAUAAUUGUUAGUUAUUGAUGGGAGGAGAAUAAUAAAUGUAAUUGUAAUUAAGAUGAUAUGAUUUACUGCUAACCCAUAGCUUAAACUAAGUAUUGAUUUUGAUGAAAAUAAAAUUCAAUUAAAAUUUAUUUAAUUUUGAUGAUAAUUGUUGUGUAAGAAUAUGCCGUUUAUCAUCUGUUAUUGUCCGUUUUUCAUGGAAUAUAAACUAGCUGUGAAAUAUUCAUUUUGUGAUUUUAUUUUAAUUAUAAUAAAAAAUUAAUUAAAUUUUAUUAAAAAUUUUAAUUAAUAUCGUUUGAUUAAAAUAUGACCGACUGUGACAUGUUUAAAAAGAAUAUUCAAACGUCAAGUAGGAGUCACCAGCUAUAUCAUAUACUAUUUGUUUUUCUUUUAAUUAUUCUUGUAAAAAAAUAAACUAUAGGCUAUAUGAGUAAAAGUAGUAAUCUUUCUUGAAUAAUUCUUGUUAUAAAAGUAAAUUUCAUUAUUAAAAAAUUCAAAUUCAAAACUUUUUCAUAAUAUACGCCUUCAAUGAUAAACAGGUUAAAUAAUUGAUUUAGUCUGUAAAUUUAAAAUUAUAAUUAUUAUAUAAAAUUAAAUAAUUAAAUUUUAUGAAUAUCGUAGAUUUUUUAUUUUAGUGAAAAAUUGUAGUUUGGAAAGAAACUUAAAAAGGUUUUAAACUUAGACUUGCAUUCNNNNNNNNNNNNNNNNNNNNNNNNNNNNNNNNNNNNNNNNNNNNNNNNNNNNNNNNNNNNNNNNNNNNNNNNNNNNNNNNNNNNNNNNNNNNNNNNNNNNNNNNNNNNNNNNNNNNNNNNNNNNNNNNNNNNNNNNNNNNNNNNNNNNNNNNNNNNNNNNNNNNNNNNNNNNNNNNNNNNNNNNNNNNNNNNNNNNNNNNNNNNNNNNNNNNNNNNNNNNNNNNNNNNNNNNNNNNNNNNNNNNNNNNNNNNNNNNNNNNNNNNNNNNNNNNNNNNNNNNNNNNNNNNNNNNNNNNNNNNNNNNNNNNNNNNNNNNNNNNNNNNNNNNNNNNNNNNNNNNNNNNNNNNNNNNNNNNNNNNNNNNNNNNNNNNNNNNNNNNNNNNNNNNNNNNNNNNNNNNNNNNNNNNNNNNNNNNNNNNNNNNNNNNNNNNNNNNNNNNNNNNNNNNNNNNNNNNNNNNNNNNNNNNNNNNNNNNNNNNNNNNNNNNNNNNNNNNNNNNNNNNNNNNNNNNNNNNNNNNNNNNNNNNNNNNNNNNNNNNNNNNNNNNNNNNNNNNNNNNNNNNNNNNNNNNNNNNNNNNNNNNNNNNNNNNNNNNNNNNNNNNNNNNNNNNNNNNNNNNNNNNNNNNNNNNNNNNNNNNNNNNNNNNNNNNNNNNNNNNNNNNNNNNNNNNNNNNNNNNNNNNNNNNNNNNNNNNNNNNNNNNNNNNNNNNNNNNNNNNNNNNNNNAUUUAGUGUUUUAAUAUAUUUUAAAUGAAAAUAUUAUAUAAUAUUGUAAAUAUUUAAUAUUAUUUUAAAAUUAAAAUGCAAAAUUUAUUAGUUUGAUAUAAAUAAUAUUAGUAUUAUAUUAAAAGUUUUUUUCCAAGAGUUUGAAAAUUAUAAUUAAAAAAUUAUAUUACGAUUUGGUUAGGUCAGUGUCUUCAUAUAUUUUAGAUAAAAAUAUAAUAUAAUAUUAUAAAUAUUUGAUAUUAUUUUGAAGUUGAAAAGGAAUAAUAUUAAUAUUAUGGUAAAAAUAUUUAAUUAUUUUAUUUAAAUUUAAAUUUUAUUAUAAAAAUUGAAAAUUAUAUUGAAAUAUAUUGAAAUUGAAAUAAGAACCGAUAUUAGAAACUAAUGUAGAGUUUUAGUUUCAAAACAUUUAGAAAUCCACCUACUAUUCUGGUUCACAUUCCUAUGAGAAUGGAAACAACCGAAACCGCACACCCUAUUGCAGAUAAUGCAAUACUCAAGUAAAUUUUUGACAGGCAAAGCAAAUAAAAUCUAUCCAUGCUAUAUUGCAUAUUAUAACCUAAACAUAUCAUCAGAGAAGAAGAAAAUUUUUUUGUUAGUCCGGUAACUUUUUCUUAUUAUAAAUAGACACUUAUUUUGUUAAAAAAAUUUAUGUGAUAUCACAAUAAAUUAGUUUUACAUUAAAAAAUUCUUAUAUAUACUUAAAUAUAUUUUUAUAAAUGAGACUUGUUAUAGUAUAAGCAUAAAAAGUAUUUUUGAAUCAGCUAAAUGUAUACACCUCAGUCGGUGGAGAACUUUUUACAUUCCACGAAAUUUUAUUUGUGCUCAUUUUUGGCACUUGAUUACUUUUUCGAGGUUGGAUUGAUUGUUUCCCUCAUUGAUCUUAGUGGAAUGUAUAUAGUAAGAUGUUAAUAAUUUACUAAGAUUCUUUACAAUUCUACUUAAACUGUAAAAAUUAUGUACAGCCAAAGCCAAUUAAGUAAUAAUUAACAUCUGAAAAAAAAGAUAAAAAAAAAAAUUAAAGACAAAGUAUUUGGGUGAUUGGAGAAACCAAAUCACCAAUGGUCAUUUCAGAAGGGUGUUCGCCUCCUAGGGCAUGAAAAUGCUUCACGUCAAUGGUCAUUUCAGAAUAAGAAAGACCUGCAUUGGAGUUUGAAGUUCAACCUCAACUAAAGUAAACUUGGUGGGAAGUUGACAAAUAGUGAAAGGGAUACAAGAUAAGCCAUACAUCAAGCAUUAUAGUCUUUUUCAGGUCAAAAAAGAGAAAAUAAAUCUCAAUAACUUUAUUUACCUUGGUAUAGUUGGUUAGGUUUGCAGUUCAUCAUAGAGUCUCAUAAUAGCUUUUUGGAAAAAUUUUGCUCAAGAUUUCACCGAAAGAUGCUGCUUUUGAAGGCAGUUUCCUCUGCUUAGGACCACACUAACAGAGCUAGGUUUGCAGCUACUAGUCGCUGCACACACUCUCUCUCUCUCUCUCUCUCUUUCAGUCUUUUCAACAACCACCAUCUGCAACUAGUAAGGAUAGACAUAAACAAUAUGCAUACUUCUUAAUCUCGUGACACAGAAGCUUUUUAAUUUCAAUCAGCAAACCUUGAUUACUUCUCAAUUUCCCCACACUACACCGGUCUCUGCCACUCAAAUUCGUACGUACGGAGACGCUAGACCCCUCUCCAUGUCAGACGGUCAUUUAAUUCUUUUCGGCGCGCAUGCGGAUAGGGCUGCGAAGUUACUGUGCCAACUGUUCUCCCUCACAUCAUAUUAUCGGGCUGGAUUACCUCCUGUUGGACCCGUACUUACGAUUGAUCCGACCUGCCCUAUGUAUCCGGACUAGGGCUUGCAAUGUUGGAUCGGUCUGCUUAAGAAUGGUCUGAUGGAUUUUGGGCCUGCAUUAUUCUUUAGGACCUAGUCUUACCCCAAGUGUAGGAAACCCGGCGGUCAUCACUAAAAAAUUCUGCAGAUGUAAUUUAUUAGGAGAUGUGAUUAAAGAUUUCAAUUUUGGUUUAUUAAAUAUCAGUUGAAAUUUAACUCAGUUAUUUUUACCGUUUUUCUUUUUAUUUGCUAGUGAAGUCUAACUGCUUUUCUAUAGUGGCACCUCAGAUUCGUAUGUACGGAGGUGUUAGACCUCUCUCCACGCCAGACAGUCAUUUAAUUCUUGCUAACGCGCAUACGGAUAGGGCUGCGAAGUGACCGGGCCAACUAUUCUCCCUCACAUCAAAUUAUCGGGCUGGAUGUUGAGCCUGUGCUUACGAUUGAUCCGGCCUGCCCCAUAUAUCUGGACUAAAGCUUGCGAUGUUGGGUCGGUCUGCUUAAGAAUGGUCUAAUGAGUUUUGGACCAGCGUUAUUCUUUAGGGCUUGACUUUUCCCCAAGUGUAGAAAACCCGGCGAUCAUCACUAAAAAAUUCUGCAGAUGUAAUUUAUUAGGAUAUGUGAUUAAAGAUUUCAAUUCUGGUUUUAUCAGUUGAAAUUUAACUCAGUUAUGAAGAAAUUUAACUCAAGUCCUGGGUAGAGUCUAAAAAUAACAUAACUUUAUUAAUGUAUAUAACUUAUUCUUAGCGUGUAUAUAUAUAUAUAAUCAUACAAGAUUAAACAACAAGAAGUAAUGUAUCAAUGGUGUAUUGCUAACAGUGCCUGUGAUUGCUUCUCAUAGCGAAAACCAUUUGCUUUGGAAUCAUCUGCAGACCAAACAAAGAUCCCAUGUAGUUGCUUCUGACUCUUGAGUUUACUGCAGGCUGUAAAGAAUCCAUCAUCUGGCCCUAACCCACCACUCCCAUCACUGAUAAAGCUCACCAAUACCUUCCCACCAUUGUAGUUGGAGCUUUGGGUCUGAAAAUAUCCCAUAAACUGAGAAACUGUUGUCCCUUGAUCAUAUGCAUAGAAUUGGAAAUUUACAUAGUCUAUCAGCUCUCCAUACUUCUUCCACAAAGCUUGAUAAUGGCUUUGAACUUGAUCAUCGUCAAACGGAGCUAUGGAAGCGAAUGAGAUAACGCUAUUCUUCUUAAGGGUUGAUAUAAGUUGUCCUAUGCAUUCUGUGAAGGUUUCAGGAUCAGCCUGAAAGUGCUCAUCAUCAAUAUCAAUACCAUCUAAAUUAUAUUGUUUGAUGAUGUCUGUGAGUGUAGAAACAGCAUUGGACACCCAUGAAUUCACUGAAGAAGGGUUAAAAUAAGCAUAGCCACCUUGCACACUGUCUCCUCCAAGGCUUAAGGCGACUUUGACAUUGGAAUAUUGGUUUUUGAUUGAAGAAACAUCAGAUGGGCUGAGAUUUUCAGAGUCCCAGAAGACAUUGAAUUUUCCAUUGGUGGGAGAAGGAGAACUUGAAGUGUCAUAGUCUAUGGCGAAGGAGAGAAUGAAGUGGAAAUCGACAUUGGGAUUGAUAGGAACAUCAGUGAACUUGACAUUAUUGAACUCAGCUCCUAUGUAUUCACGAAACAGGUUUGAAUUCUUAGGAGCUGCUUGGAUUGAAGAGUGAGAAGGGAUUAGAGCUUGAAGGAUAAGAAGGGUGACAAAAAGCUUGGAGAGCUCCAUUGAUUUUGAUCAAACUUGCAGGAUUUGUGUAGCUUGCGUUGAUGAACAUGGAGACCCUUUGAUACUAUUAUAUAGUGCACUGAAUUUGAGCCAUUUCUAUGGAUUGUAAAUGUUUCUUAGACCUUUAUUUUGUAUGGUUAUACAAUAAAGGAACAUUACUAUUUGGUCCUUUUGUUUUAUAGAAAAAUUUAUUGUUUAAGUCUUUUAAUUUUGAAAAAUACAUUAAAAUCUCCAUAAAUUUUAAAAAAAUUUACUACUUGGUCUUUCGAUUAAUUUUAUUUAUUAAGUAUGUAAAAAAUUACAAAAUAUUCUUAAUAUAAAGGGACUAAUUAGUAUAAAUUUUUGUAAAAUUAAAAAAUCAACUAAUAAAUUUUUUUAUAUAAAAAAAACUAAAUAGUUAAAUAUUUAACGAGUAAAACUAAUAUAAUGAUACUUUUUAAAAAAUUUCAGAGCGAUCUAAUAUAAUUUUUUAAAAUUGAAAAAUUAUUUAGUGAAUUUUUUAAUAUUAUAAGGAUUAAAUAGUAAAAUUUUCUACAAAGAAACUACUAGGAUCAAGAGGAUCGAAGAAGCCGGCAAAAACAAAUAUUCAUUUGGAAGAGGAGCUCAAGAUUGAAGCUGCCUCUGUAAUUUUUAUAUAUCUUACUUUCACUACUGCAAUUUACAUAUAUAUAUAUAUACAGAGUCAUAGUCCUAAGUAAAGAAGGAGUGUGUGUUAACAAUUAGUUAAAAGAACUANNNNNNNNNNNNNNNNNNNNNNNNNNNNNNNNNNNNNNNNNNNNNNNNNNNNNNNNNNNNNNNNNNNNNNNNNNNNNNNNNNNNNNNNNNNNNNNNNNNNNNNNNNNNNNNNNNNNNNNNNNNNNNNNNNNNNNNNNNNNNNNNNNNNNNNNNNNNNNNNNNNNNNNNNNNNNNNNNNNNNNNNNNNNNNNNNNNNNNNNNNNNNNNNNNNNNNNNNNNNNNNNNNNNNNNNNNNNNNNNNNNNNNNNNNNNNNNNNNNNNNNNNNNNNNNNNNNNNNNNNNNNNNNNNNNNNNNNNNNNNNNNNNNNNNNNNNNNNNNNNNNNNNNNNNNNNNNNNNNNNNNNNNNNNNNNNNNNNNNNNNNNNNNNNNNNNNNNNNNNNNNNNNNNNNNNNNNNNNNNNNNNNNNNNNNNNNNNNNNNNNNNNNNNNNNNNNNNNNNNNNNNNNNNNNNNNNNNNNNNNNNNNNNNNNNNNNNNNNNNNNNNNNNNNNNNNNNNNNNNNNNNNNNNNNNNNNNNNNNNNNNNNNNNNNNNNNNNNNNNNNNNNNNNNNNNNNNNNNNNNNNNNNNNNNNNNNNNNNNNNNNNNNNNNNNNNNNNNNNNNNNNNNNNNNNNNNNNNNNNAUGCAUAGUGCGUGGAGCUUGCAUGAAUUGGCUAAGUUGCUGAACUGCAUAACUAAUAUCAGGGCGUGUCAUGGACAAAUAAAGUAAGCGACCAACAAGUCGUCUAUAACUCUCAACAUCUUGCAAUGGCUGUCCCAUGUCCGCCGUUAAUUUAACACCUUGGAUAUAAGGACUGCCUGCAACCUGGGCAUCUUGCAAACCAGUAUCAGAAAUAAUAUCAGUGAUGAACUUAUGUUGAGUUAACAUCAUGCCAGUAUCAGUGCGUGCGACUUCAAUGCCCAAAAAAUACUUGACAUCACCGAGAUCCUUAAUGGUGAAUUUCUUGUCCAAAUAAUGCCUCAAGGAAGAAAUUAGUGCAGCAGAUGGACUAGCAAUCAAACAAUCAUCAACAUAAACCAAGAGAGCAAUAAAAGUAUCUCCGGUACCUUUCGUAAAAAGACAAUGAUCAAAAGAAGACUGUUUAAACCCCUGGGACAGCAAACUUGCGGUUAAUUCUUUAUUCCAUUGUCGGCCAGCUUGCUUCAACCCGUAAAGUGAUCGUUGCAACUUACAAACUUGCCCGACUUCAGCUUUGUCAUAACCAGGAGGAACUUGCAUAUAAAUGUCCUCAUCAAGAAAGCCAUGCAAGUAUGCAUUAUUAAUAUCUAAUUGCUUAACGUGCCAUGAAUAUGCAGCAGCCACAGUCAAGAAAACACGCACAGUAACAAGUUUGGCCACCGGAGAAAAUGUUUGAUUAUAAUCUAGACCCAAUAACUGAUUGUACCCCUUGGCAACGAGUCUAGCUUUGUAGCGGUCUAUGCUUCCAUCUGCAUGAUAUUUAACCCUGUACACCCACUUACAACCAACAGGUUUAGUAUUAGGAGGCAAAGCAGUUAAUAUCCAAGUAUUAUUUUUGUCUAAAGCAUCCAAUUCAGUACGCAUAGCAUUCACCCAAUUCAAAUUAUUUUUAGCAUCAUUAUAAUUGCAAGGCUCUUUAACUUUAGAUAGAUUGGCAAUAAAAGUGACGUGGGAAGAGGAAAAAUUUAGGCGGGAAGUGGAAGAAGUAUUGGUAACAUAAUCAUCGAACCAGGCAGGAGGUUUCUUUGACCUUGUACUGCGCCGAACCUGUGAUGGAGGUGCAGGAACUAUUUGCAAAGCUGUCUCACCUUCCAAAGAAAUGUGACCAUCAUUACCCGAAGGAACAUUGGUGUCAGUAACUGUGGAUUCUGUACUAAGAGCAGGGGCAGAGUCGACAAUUUGAAUAUCAGUGGCGGAUGAUGGUGGUGUAUAAUCAGUAUCAGAAAUGCAAGUAGGCAAAACAAAAUUUGUGGCAUCUGUAGGUUGAUCAAAAUGAAAAGGAAAAAUAUUUUCCAUAAAAAUAACAUCACGUGAAGAAAUAAUGGUUUUGGUGGUGAGACAAAAUAACUUAUAUGCCUUUUGGUUUUGAGCAUAUCCUAACAAGACACAUGGAAAAGCUCUUGGAGCAAAUUUUGUUUUAUGAGGUACAGUAUUUGUAGCAUAACAAAGGCAUCCUAUGGUUCGAAAAUACCCAUAAUUAACCUGUUUACCAUGCAAUCUUUCAUAGGGAGUCUUCCAUUGCAAAUUUUCGGACGGCAAACGGUUAGUGAUAUGAGUUGCUGCUAACAAUAAUUCAGACCAAAAAUGAGGUGGAAGCUUAGAUUGAAAAAACAAGGUUCUAGCUAUGUUUAACAAGGUUCGGUGUUUCCGCUCUACUACCCCGUUUUGUUGUGGAGUAUAAGGACAAGUACGUUGAUGCAAAGUGCCUUGUUCCUGUAGAAAAGAACUACAUGCAGAAUUGACAAACUCAGUCCCAUUAUCAGUACGCAUAAUCUUGAUCUUCUUGUCAUAAUGUGUGAGCACAUAACAAAAAUAAGACUUCAAAGCAAUCAACACCUGAUCUUUUGUUUUUAACAUAUAUGUCCAGCAAAACCGACUAUAAUCAUCAACAAUAGUGAGCAUGUAAACAGCAUUUGUAACUGAUUUCAACUUAUACGGUCCCCAUAAAUCAACAUGGAUAAGAUCAAACACAUCUUUAGUAGAAAUAGAACUAGUAGGAAAUGAUAAUCUAGUUUGUUUUGCAACUGGACAUACAGGGCACAUCAGCUCAGUGUAAUCACAUUUAACUACUCCAUCCACAUGCUUCAAUCUCUUAAAAGAAACGUGUCCUAGCCUUGAAUGCCAAAGCAUUGCCAAAUGUUUAUUAUGCUCAAAACAACGAUUAACAGAAUUACAAUUACUAACUCUAUUAAAAGAGUCUGCUGUCAAAUAAUAAAGAUCGUCAAAGACAGUUCCUUUGGCCAAAACCUCUUCAGUCUGUAAAUCCUGGAAUAAACAAUAUUCGGGAAAUGAGUGCACAGACAUUCGACAAGUCCGAGUAAGCAAACUCACAGACAACAAAUUGCAGCUGAAUGAAGGGACAUAGAGAACAUUGUACAAAAUAAUUCUGGAAUUUAGUUUAAUGGUACCAAUAUGAGUAACCGAUCUGGUGGAAUUGUCAGGUAACCUAAUGGUUUUGGGUGGGUUCAAUUGAACAACUCGAUCAUAAAAAUGGAGAUGAGGUGUGAUAUGAUCGGUUGCGCCACUAUCAACUAUCCAAUUUUCCUUGCAAUUAAAAUUAAUGCUAGAAAAUACUGAAUUGAGCAAAAUACCUGCAAAGUUCACUUGUCUGACAUCCCCAUCUUCCUGAUCAGCACUGCCACUCUUGGAUUUGAUAAAUUUCUGAAAUUCAUGUUGAAAGAAUUCUGCCAUCCCUUUGUCAACAUUUUCUGCUCCCUUUUGCUGCUGCACUAUUGAUUUCAAAGGGGUCUCAUCCACUGCACCUCGAAUGACAUUGUUAGCUCUGUGGUAUUUACUAAUAUCAAUACCCUUCUUUUCCUGCAUAGUAAGAAACCAAUCUGGAUACCCAUGAAUUAGAAAACAAUCAUCCACAGUAUGACCUCCAUUCUUACAUUUAGUGCAGUAUUGUUUCUUCUUUUCUUCUUUACGGAAAGAAGAAUAGCUCCUAUUAUUUCCAGAACCAGCAUUAUUUCGACCACCUGAAUAAUUUCGUCUAGCAAGCAUUACUGCAGCUGUCUCAGUUGAAGUCGAGCUAUCUGUUUGGACUUCUCUUUGCUUUUCAACGCUCAUAAUCAUUGAAUAUGCUUUAUUGAUAGGUGGCAACGGAUCUUGGAGAAGAAUCUGAUUUUUAACAUUAUCAUAUUCAUCUCCUAAUCCCAUUAAAAAUUGCAUCAAUCUCCUAUUGUUUUCAUAAUCUGUAAUAGCAGUACCUGUUUCACAACAAACAGGCAAUGGAGCCAAACAUAACAAUUCAUCCCACUUCUUCUUCAAAUUCGUGUAAUAUUCUGUCACAGUACUGUUGCUCUGCUUGUAACCAGCAAUAUCUCGCUCAAUCUGAUAGAUCAUUGGCCCGUUACUUUCGCCGUAUCGUUGUUUCAACUCAUCCCAAAGAGCCUUUGCGUUCUUACAAAACACAAAAGCAUCAGAUAUAUCUUUUGACAUGGCAUUUAGCAACCAUGAAACCACCAUACUAUCAGCUGUCAUCCAUUUAUCGUAAUUUUCUGAUUCAGGCGCUAGUGCUUUAAUCUUCCCAUUGAUAAAUCCCAGCUUUUUCUUAGCUCGAAGAGCUAUUUGUACCGACCUACUCCAAGAAAGGUAAUUUGGUCCUUUCAAGGGAGUACUCACAAGACUAAAUCCUGGAGCCUCAGAAUUACUCACAUAAUAAGGAUCUUCUUCAGUAUUCUUGGUAUUGAUAGCGGCAAUGAUUUUUGCCAAAUCUUCCGGAUUCAUCAUCGUGAAAUUGUAAAUUAAAACCUAACAAAUAUCGAACCUGGCUCUGAUACCAUCAAGAGGAUCGAAGAAGCCGGCAAAAACAAAUAUUCAUUUGGAAGAGGAGCUCAAGAUUGAAGCUGCCUCUGUAAUUUUUAUAUAUCUUACUUUCACUACUGCAAUUUACAUAUAUAUAUAUAUACAGAGUCAUAGUCCUAAGUAAAGAAGGAGUGUGUGUUAACAAUUAGUUAAAAGAACUAUUCUAACGGGAUUUUACAGAUAUAGUCGGGAUUUUACAGGAUUUUGCAGAUAUAGUCAAAUGUCAUAUCACAUAUCCUUUAUAUAGGACAUGAUACUUUAAAUAAGCAUUGCAGUCUAGUUGCCUACUCUUUUGUUUUGACAGGAAUAUAUUACAGUUUCCCUGUUUUCUGGCAUGAAAAACCUGGCAUUUCCUUAAUCUUAUUUUGUUGUUUAUAUAUGAGAAAUGGCUUGGUGGGGUUGGAUGGAAAUUGGAUUUGGAGUUAACUCUGCAGCCACGGCAUGUGAAUGAAUGUGAUAUCAUUUAUACUUCCAACCUUUUCUGCUAUGGAUUUUUUAAGAGGUAACUAAUCCUCAAUGGAAAACCAUGUGAAUUCGUUGACUGCAAAAUUGCUUUUUAGCUUCACAAAUAUAGAUUCAUAGUCUUACACAAGGAGAGAGACUAUUGCCUCUUGAAGUAAUCUGCAGACCAUGCUAAGAUACCAUGAAGCUGCUACCGGCUCUUAAGCCCAUAAUCGGUCCUUUAGUAUGAGGUUUCGGUCCAAUUCAAAAACUGGAACUAAUUAAUCAAUUUGAUUUUAAUUUCGUCUGUCUGAUUUUAAUCUAUUUAUAAAUAAAUACUGUCAUAAGUAUUUUUUUUAAAAAUAGUAUUAUAACAUUUUUCCAAUAAUUGGUAUUGGAAUAUCUUUUUAAUAAAAAAUAAAAAUACUAAUGAAAUUUAACUUAUUAAUUCUUGAAUAUUUUCAAAAUCGUGAAAUUUCGAAUUUGAGCUGCAUUGGUUUAAUUUUUUUAAAAAAAAAAAAAAAAAAGCAUGCAUGUUUUUUCCCCGAAGGAAUCCGUUGUAAUUUGGAAGGGUAGAAUGGCUAAACCGGCCGGAUCAAGAAACUCAGGUUGGCCCAAUUUGAAAAAGUUUCUCUUUAUUCCAAUUCCAAUUUUGCUUUUCUUUUUUCAUCCUAUGAUUUAUACUUGAGUCAAGUUUACUUUUCUUUUCUUGUUAUUUUUAAAUUAUAAACCAUUUACUUUAGAAGUAUUUAUUAAUUAAUUUAUUAAUAUAUUUUUAUUAUAUAUUAAAAGAUAAAAUUCGUUCAUGUCAAAAUUUUGAUUUUUAUGAAACAAUAUGAAUAGAGAGUACAUUAAACAAAAAAGACUAAGCGAAAUUUAUUAUUUUUACUAUAUUCAUUACAUUUCUUAAUUCAUAUAAAAGUUAAGAAAAAUUCUUUUAAAAAUAAGAGACUAAUUAAUAAAAUUUUAAAAAUUAUAAAAAUUAAAAAGUAAAAUAUUUAACAGUUAAAAAUUAACGAAAUAAUUUAUUAAUAAAUUUUUAAAAUGUUAUGCACGUUUUAAUAUAUUUUUCAAAAUUAAAGAAUCAACCAAUGAGUUUUUUCUUAAAUUAAUUUAUGUAUCAAUAGAUUUUAACUCAUUAAUUUUAAAGUUAUUUUUAAAUCUGAAAAAUCACAAAAUCAAAUUAGUAAGUUAGAAGAAAAAAUGAACUGAGGAGUUCUCCCAACUUUAAUAGUAAAGUUGAAGUCAUUUUUGCAAGGUGGCCUCCAAAUUCUAACAACCACAAUUAGAUAACAUGUUGGUGUCAAAAUAAAGAAAACUUGACAAUGUAUUUAACUUCUAGUUUCUUUGUAAUGAUUAAGGAUAUAUGUUCAAUCAAAGCACUGAUUUAUCUAAAACAAAUCAAAUCUAUUGGGAGUUUGUUUGUUUGUUUUGUAUUUCUUAUAAGUUGUGGUUCUUAAUGCUGCAUCCAAAAAUGUCAUUGUCUUUGAUCUAUAAUAACCUUUUGGGUGAUUUGUAUAUUUCCUCCAUGGUUGUGAUGUUUAAGUUUGAGGAUGAUAGUGGGGGGGUGCCAUGAUCUGUACCUGCUUUUUAUGUAUGAGCCUAUCAUAAUCAUGCACCAAGAAUUUACCACCACUUCUAAUUAACAUAUAUGUAUAGCACUGGAAAAUGACUUUCACUGAUUGUGAUGUAUGAUAAGAAUCACAUGCCAAUGCUGGCUUGAAGUAAAUCAAAAGCAACUAAUUGCACAAGAAACAUACAUGGUGAUUGAAGCUUUUUUUUUUUGGUGAUUGAAGCUUUUUUUUUUUUUUUAGUUAGGGUAAGAGAAUUGAGAGAAUUAAACUCAUGACUUUUUGAUGUAAUGACACGGAAUAACUAAUAUUGAAUUUUACAGCAGAUUUGAAUCGGGUCUAAUUUUUACUGUCGACGCACGACUUUUAAAAGUGUAAUGAGAGCCACAGGCUUAUCACAAAGUUCGAGGUAAAAAUUUCACCGUUUAGAGAGUUAAUUUUGCAUUUUAAUUAUUUUUUUAGAUAUUUUUAUAAUUUUGUAUAUUAAAAUUUUUUUGUAUUAUAAAUAGUCUUUCCUUAAUUAUUUGAGGUAAUUUUCAAUUUUUUAAAAAUUUCAAUAAGAUUUUUUGUUUUUAGUUUCUUGUUUGUAUUAUAUCGUCUUAACCAAACAUUAUUUAUUAAAUCUCCUGACGGAAUCUAAUUAGUUCUUUAUCAUGUAAGUACCACCAGAUUAAAUUCAUAGACUUACACAAAUAAAUAAAAAAUCAAAGGUAGCUUGAGUUGGUUUUGAGGAGAACACAUUCUUGUGGGAGUGAGAGCUUAGAGGCCACUUUCUAUAGGUGAUGACAAUUGAUGAAGUGAAAAUUAGCUCCAUACUAAAUCUCAAACUACUCCUAAUUGAAGGAACUUAAUCGACGGAUUUUAUUUUAUUAGUAUAAGAGUUGUCUCUAAAGAUGUGAGAUCUUAAAUUUUACCUUCACUUAUAGUCAGUUAUAUCAAAAAAUAAAAAAUUUGAUACUAUAUGGGUUAGUUAUAUCAAGAGAUGUGUCUUUUUCUAAACUCUAAGUGUAUUAAUUUUUUUUUAUUAAAUAACGAAGUACUCAAAUGAGUAAGUCGGUGUGUCUAUAAUGUACCUAAUUACAUAUAUGAAUUAUGUACACGUAUUAAUCGCAUGGAGGACUAGUCAUUCAGAAUCCCACAUUAACUUGUAAAUAAGUGUGUAUUGGAAUCCAUAUGAGUUAGUAUGACUUAAUAAAAUUAUCAUGAUUUUACUCUGAGAGUAUCCUAUUUUUGAGUUUGUGUACGUGUGUUCUACCUUUGAUUAAAAAAAUAAAAAUAAAUUUAUAUACAAAAGAAAGAAUGAUAGAAAGAUAUUCAAAAUUUGAUUAAAAAAAAAGAAAGAUAUUCAAAAUGAUUCUUGAGAAGAGACACUUUCCUCCCACUUAAAAUAUAAAAUUUUUGAAGAAUUCAAUUUAUUUUGUUUUUCUUCAUCAAAUUCUAUACUUGAAAUAUAAGAAUUAUUUUUUUAAUUUAUAAUUUUAUAAAAAUUCAUUUGAAUAUUUCUUCCCUAAUAAAUUAUGCUAAUCGGAGGUGUUUUCAUGAUCAAAUGAUUAAAUUUUCACGCGAGAGUGAGAGUACAAAAGUUUGAAUAUUAAGUCUUAAGGCUUAGAGUUAAGGGCUCAAAAUUAAUUUCAGGAAAUCCUUUUUUAAUAUAAACAAGAAAAAAAAACUCACUUUCUAGCUAUAUAUUCAUUUACAAAUAUUAUUUAUAGUGCGAGUAAUUGAAAACAUAGCAUAUAAACAUUAAUCCAGGGUUAAAAUUUAAAAAUUUGUAAAAAUCUAAUUCAAUUAAUUUUUUAAAAAAAAUUUUAUAUUUAAAAUAUGAUAAUUGAAAUGGUUUAAUUUUUAAAAUAGAAAAGAAUUUAUUUUAAAAGAAAUAAAUUCCAAGCAAAACAAAUUCAGGACAAAAUCAAUAUUGCAAUUUUACCGAAUAAAGAUUUAAAUUAGAGAGCAAAAAUCUAUUUGCAAAUAGUUUUAAUUCUUCGUUUGUUUUACGAAAAAUACUUUUCAUAUUUUAUGAUGUUUGGAAUAUUGAAAAAAUUUAAUCAAUAGAAAAUGUUUUUCUGAUUAAAAAAAAUUAAAUUAUUUUAUAAAAAAUGACUUUUUUUUAUAAAAAAAUGAGUAAUUUUUCACUCUUUAAAAUUUUAUGAAGUUCUCCUUAUAUAAAUUUAUUAAUAAAACAUAUUUUUUUAAAUUAAAAUUAAGUAAUAAAUAAUAAAUUAUUUUAUUAAAAAUAUUUUUUAAAUACAAAUUAUUUUCCGCUAAAUAUAAAUUUUGUUUUUCAAAACCACUUUUUUGGCAUAUGAAAACUAAAUUGCAAAAAUGUAUUGUCUAUUAUCAAAUAGAUUUUUUUUUCUCGGAAAAAAAAAAUAUUUUGUCUGAAAAAUACGUUUAGCAACAUCAAUACCAAACAUGAUGUUAAGAUUUAAAGUAAGAAAGAAGAAUAACAACAGCUUCAAUUGCACCCCCAACUACUAACAGCUAAUUUAGAGCGGCUAGCUAGCAAGCAGCAUUUGGGUUAAUAGUAUACCAAUUACCAAACGACCUUUUUAAAAAGGGGACAUGUUUGAGAAUCCUAUGAUAAGAAUUUUCAUGGAUAAGUUACUAUAUAUUUUCUAUAAUUUAUUAUAAUUAAUAAGUAAGUUUUGUAGUUUGCCAUUUCAAAAAAAAAAGUUUUUGUAGUUUGAAAAUAAUAAUAAUAAUAAUAUAUUUAAUAAUUAUGAUAAAUUAUUGAGAAUUUUCAUAGGAGAAAGAAUCAAAGCCUUUCAUUUACCGGUGAACGAUAGUCAAAAUAUUAACUCAAUCAAAAAGUUAAUUCAAAGAGGAGGGAAGAGAGCUUAAAACCUUUAUAACGGAUACAUUAUCUUAUUGCAAACUAAUAUAAAAUUUAACACACACUCUCAUAUUUAAAAUUAUACUGUAGUGUGACAUAUUUACGAGAGAUCUAAUAUUGGUGAGAGGUUCUAAUACAAUAUUAAAUUUAGUUCAGGUUUAACUCACUCAAAAAUUAGUUUAAAAGGAUAAGUGCUUAUAACACGGGACACAUUAUGUUAUAUUAAAUAAAUGUGGAAUUCAAUAAAAAAAAAAAAAAGAAAAACUUAUUGUACUUGUGAAGUGAAGCAUAUGUUACAAGUAUAUAUAGGAUUGAGUAUGUCUCAAGUAUGCAUGCAUAUACUUAUAAUAUAUGUUAGAUGCAUGCAUUAAUACAAGUGAAAAUUGAGAUAAAGGAUGAAAAGAGCGAAAAGAUGUCUAUCACUUGUUACUUGUUGGAUUGUUGGAUAUGUUAGCAAGACAUAUUUAAAAAUCUCUUUAGGCUUAAUUUUUUUUCCAAUCGUUAAAUAUUUAAAAAAAGAAAACAAUACAAGUAGUAUAUAAAAAAACAUAUUUAACAAUUUCUUCAUAAUCUACCAUUUUAGAUUAAAAAACGAGUAGUCCCAAAUGCAUUUGUAUAAAGAAAGGGCGAUACAAGUCGACUUAAUUCAAGAUCAAAUAUAUUUAAUAGAAAUAAGGGUGUAAAUAAAUUAAACCAAGUGAAGAUUUGAAAAGUUUAAUUUCAAUUUGUAAAUUUUUUUUUUCUUUAAAUUCAAGUCAAAUUCAAAUUUGAUUUAUUUCAAAGUAAGUUGAGUAUAUAUUAAUAAUUUCAAAUUUAGUUUAUCUAAUAAAUGAAUUAAGGCUAAUCAAGCUUUUAUCAAAUUAAGUUGCUGAAUAGUUUUUUAUCAAAUUAAGUCUACAAUAACUAUUCAACAACUUAAUUAAUAUAAAUUCUAAUGAAUUUUAAUUUAAAAAUAAAAUAAAUAAUUCUAAUUAAAUAAAUAUAUUCAUAAAUUAACUUAUAAAUUUAUUAAAAAAACUCUCAAUUAUAAUGAGUUGAAUAUUUUCAUAUUCAAACUUUUUAAUUUAUUUAGAUUACGAAUUGAAUUAAAUUAAAUUUUUAUCUAAACAAGUCGAAUAUCUCAUAAAAUUGAGUCAUUUAUAACUUUAAAUAGGAAUGAAAUAUCAUGUAAAACGCUUUUGACCUAAAGAAUAAAUCCACAAAGUCCGAACCACAUUAUCCCCUAAACUAAUUACUUUUAUUAAUGACAUUAUCCUCUAAAAUAAUUUCAGACUAAUAAUGUAAUUUCCUUUUUUUUUAUUCUUUUUUCUCUUGAAGAAAAUAUGAAUAGCCUGUGGAUUUUCUUAGGUUAUCUGCCAAAUUACAAGAUGAGAUCCCAUAUGCUUAAACUUAAAUGCUACCUUACAAAAUUCUUUAAAGAUACCUUAGAAUAAGAAUGCACUGUAAAUUGGGACUUGGGUUUUUCUCAUUUAAGCCAACUGUACUGCCAAGAUUACCAAUUUAAUUCCAUGUCUUAAACUAGUUUUGUUUCUAGAUCUUUUAUAUUAUGCUAAUUCAACGUCUUCCAUGGCUGUGAUGCUUUACUAAUGGGCUAUGAAGGUUCCUUUGCUAUGCUGGGUUUCUUUAGGCGAAGUUACGUGGUCUGUGAGCUUCAGCUAGUCCUUCCUUUCUUUAUUAGACUAUUGCCAUGUUUUCCUCCGACCAACAGCUCUUGGCGGCAGCAAAUGGAGCUCUCAUGUCUUUAAAGUUGUUUUUGUAUUCCACAUCUAUUAUGAAUAGGUGCUGUGUAUAUUUAUAGGUGUGUAUAUUUAUAUAUCACUGAGAAUUUUUAUUAAAAUUAUUAUGAUUUUAAUUUAAAAAUUAAAUAAAAAAAUUAAAUUUCUCUAAAGUAAAUAUAAUCUGAGGUUUUUUUUUUUUUUUUUUUUAAUUUAAUGUGAAAAAAGGGAGUCAAAUAUAAUUGUGACUGGCUAUCCCUUCACCAAACAUGCAUAAUAUAGAUUACUUGAAAUGCAUUCUUUUUCCCAUUUGGCAACCCAUCUUUCAAAGAAAUCAACCUUUUGUUUUAUGCAAAUAUCUCUUUUUCUGUCUCUUUAUAGGUGGAGCAGAUUUUACCAAAUCUUAUUUCAAAACAACAACACAAAACCAAUAUCAAAUUUCUUCUUUUUUAUAGAUUAUGAUAAUAUUAAAUUAAAAAAUUUACUAUUUAAUUAUUAUGGUAUAUAAAAAUUUAUUAAUUAAUUUUUAAAUUUUAAAAAAUAAAUUAAAAUAUUUAUAAAAUUUUUAAAAAUCUACUAAUUAAUACCUGUUUUAAUUUUAUAAAAUGUCCACUAAUUUGAGUGAAGCUUUGAAAAGGUGGAAUCUAAGAGGUAAUAGAAGAAGAAGAAGGAGGAAGGCUGUUGAAAUGAAAAGGAACUAUUGGCAUGUGGCCUACUUCACAUCACUCAGUCACAUGGAGCUUCCUACUUUGCCACCACACACUAGCCCCACUUUGUUUUCCUUUCCUUUAUCAUCUUUUUCCCCUUUUUUUAUUUUUUAAUCCCAUUCUUUUCCUUUUUUACCUAAUUUAUCUCAAUUUUUAAUAUUUAUCACUCUCUUCCCCCAAACACCCUCCCAAAAAAAAAAUUUUUUUAAAUUGUCACUUUAACUCAGUUGUGACUUUUAAUAAAUGCAACUUAAUUACAUUUUUAAUUAAUUUAAAAGACAAUUUAUAAUAUAACCUAUAAAAUUUAAUUGAACUCGCAUUUUAGUCCCUAUUAAUUUAUUAAAAAAUAAUUUGGUAUUAAAAUAUUAUUGUGUUAACAAAAUAAUCUUUUUAGAUUAUAAUAAUUUAAUUUUUUAAAUUUUACUAUUUAUAGUAAUUGAAUCUCUUUAAUUUUAAUAAAUAUAAUUAUUUAAUACUUAUAAUUUAAAUAUUUGUAAGGAUGUAGUACAUUUAAUUUGAAUUAAAUUCUUUAAUUAGAUAAAUUUAACAAAAAAAUUAAUUUGUUAAUGAAAUAAAAUUUUAAAAAUUAAAUUAUUUACUAUUAAAAAAUUUAAAUCCUCCAAAUUUUGUCAAAAACUAUAUUAUCAAUUACCACAAUUUAAUAAGGUCUCUAACAGCUAUAUUCAUCAUAAUUUUCUAUUUAAAAUAAAAAAAAUUAAUUUAAUUAAUUUUUUUGUUAGUCAUUUUAUUAAAAAAUUGAAGUGACACAUAUUUUUGUAAAAAUUUAUUUUUUAAUUAAUUAUUUCAAGUGAAGAUUAUUCGAUUAUAUUGAUUGAGAUUUAAAUUAUGAAAAUAGGAUAUAAAAUUUUAAAUAAAAUAAAAUAUAAAAUUUUAUUAUAUAAAAAUAAUAUUUUAGUAUGAAUAAUGUUGUAUUGUUAUUAAAAUUUUAUUUUUUAUUUGAAAUUAUAAAAUAUUUAAAUAAUUAAUAUUAUUUAAAUUAUUAAAAUUUAAAUUUAAUAUAUUUUAAUAUUGAUUACAUCAAUCAAUCAAGUAAAUUGCGAAGGAAAAUUUAAAAAAAAAAGUGAAAAUCAAAUCCUAAGAUCCAAAAUCAUGGGUCCCAAUAGGCCGGCCAACACAACACAAUGAGAGCCUACAAUAUUGGGGAGUUUUCAAAGUCUACAUAUCUUAUUUUAUUAAUUUUCCUAAUAAUUAAUUACCUGCCUUUGACAUUAUUUAAUAUAAACAAAUCAUUUCCUUCAUUAUUUAUCAUGUUUAUUUCUAAAUGUAGAUUUAAAAUCUUAUGGUUUUAAUCAAUUUUUUUACCAGCUCAAAAAUAUAAUUUUAAUACCAUUAAAUUUAAAAUAUUAUUUAUAUAAUUUAUACAAAAAUUCUCUAAUUUUGCAGAAUGAAGACAAAAUUUUGAACUAAUUACUUAAUUAUAAGGUGAUGGAGAGUAAAUAAUAACAAAUCCAUGAUCGAAUCUUAAAAAUCAAAUCAAUUUAAGACAUUGAAAGACACCCAAUCUCAUACCUAAAUCAAAAGAGGGUUUGUUUGUCAAUGUGUAAGCUAGCUAGGGACCAUAACUAGGGAAAAGAAAUAAAGAGAAGAGGGAAAGAGUCAAGAUUUAAUUAUAAUUGUAAUUAUAUUUUUGUUCCGAUUUUGAUGAAAAUUUAGACUUUUAUAUAAUAUGAUUGAACUAAAUUAAUCAUUAUUAUAAUAAAAAAAUAAACAAAUAUAUAAAUCUAUUUGUCGCCAUCACGAGUCAUAAAUAAUGAAAAUUAAGAUAAUAGAAUCUGAAAUCUCUCAAAUUUAUUUAUACAUUUCCAUCAUAUUAAAUAUAAAACGAUUCAUUAUCUUAACAUAGUUCUAUAUUUAGAACAUACCAAUUUUUUUAAAAUUUUUAUAUGUAAAUUUUUUUAAUAUUUUUAAUUAUUAAAUCUUUAUAUUUGAAAUUCAACCCUUCAAAUCUUUAAUUUUUCAAUUUUUAUUUCGGUAUAAUUUCCUUAUUUCUUCAAAACCCUUGCAUCAUCGAUUUCUUGAUAAACAUCAAGAGCUCCACUUGAACUUCACUUUUCUCCGCCUCAAGAUCCUCCUCAUGGGCAGUAACCCUCUUAUCAACGGACAAUGAUUCAUUGUACUUGAAUUUAUUACUUCUUCACCUUAGGCAAAAGCUUUCUAUAAUAAGCCUCUUCAUUAGGCAAAUCCCUUUCUACAAUAGCAAAGCUAAAUAGGAAACUAUUCUAUCUAGAAAAUAAUCAUCCAUUUUUUUUAUUGAAAAUAAAAUAAUCGUGAAGAAAUAUUUCUUCAACUUUAAUUUUAAAAAAAUCUCUUUAAAUCUUAGUGUUCCUAGAAUUAUCAAUCACAAAUGUAACACUUUUAAUCAUAUGAAACAAGGAUAUAUAAAAACCUAGUCUUUUGGCGAAAUUAAGAAGAGCACAUCUUGUCAUGUUCUAAUAGGGCCAAACAUGCUAAACAUGUUCCAUGGAGAAAGCAUAGACAAGAAGGCACUCUAGGCAUGUCUUUAAUGAUUCAUGACACGAAGAAGGCUAAGUUCGUUUUAGAGUAUUAUUUUAAGUUUGAUAAAUAAUUCAGGACUAUAUAUUAAUUUUUUAAAAUUUGAUGAUUAAUAUUAUUUUAGAAGAGUUUAUUCUCUCAAAAACUAUUUAUGUGUGAAUAUGUAUUAUUAUCGAAAAAUAUAAUUUGACUUUUGAACUUUACCUGAAAAGUCAUUUGGGAAUUUAAUCUUUUUAUUGUUAACUUUUAAUACCUAAUUUUUAUAAAAGUGUAACUAUUUAACCUCUAUACGCGCGCAUGACUUAUAAACUAUCUAAAUUUUAAGGGAUAAAAUAGUAAUACUUUAAUUCUAAAUUUGGCUAAGAUGAUUGGUUAUGGGCCUGGGCUUUUUUAACUCUGGGUUUGGCUAGCUUAAGUUGCGUCUAAUUUGCGCCAUGACAUGUUUGAAUUUUUUUUUUACUAAGAUUUAUAAUGAUAUAAGAGGUAAAAUAGUCAUACUUUAAUUCUAAAUUUGUCUAAGAUGAUUGGUUAUGAGCCUGGGCUUCUUUAACUCUAGGUUUGGCUAGCUUAAGUUGCGACUGAUUUGCGUCAUGGCAUAUUUGAAUUUUUUUUUACUAAGAUUUAUAAUGAUAUAAGGGGUAAAAUAGUCAUACUUUAAUUCUAAAUUUGGUUAAGAUGAUUGGUUAUGGUCUGGACUUCUUUAACUCUGGGUUUGACUAGCUUAAGUUGCGUCUGAUCUGCGCCAUGGCAUGUUUGAAUCUUUUUUUUUACUAAGAUUUAUAAUGGUAUAUUUAGAUUUCACACUUUUUCUCUCUCGCCCAAUGCAAGCCUAGUUAGCUUUGAAAGAAAUUGAUUUACCUUUAUAAUUCAAAUUAUUUCCUUUAAAAUUAUGUAAAAACUUGACUUCCCCAACUAAAUAUAGUAUAAUCAUGUGUUUAAGAGAAUAAUCCAGUUAUCACUCUUUGACCGAAACUUUCUAUUAUCCAUUCAUUUACAUUCAUACUACUAAAGCUAAAGUAACUAUUCACUUUGAUUAAAAAAAAUUACUAUUCACUAAAAUUUCGUGGUUGACUCUCUUAUUAUUAGGUCACUAACUUUUCUGACAUUUAAAUUUUAAAUAAGUAUAAAUCCUAUAUAUACUCCUGUGCAAUUAGGAUUUAUUUAUUUAUUUUUUUCACCGAUUCAAAUAAGCUCCAUCGCUUAAUGCUCCAAAGUAGAAAAAAAAUUAGUAAUUGGCCAAAUUCAAAUGUUUCUCCAUGUAAUAAGUAUCCUACUCAUUAUUUUAAAUAUUAAUUUAUUUAACUCUAAUUAUGAAACAAUUUUUGUAUAUAUACAUUACAAAAAUCUUUAACCUGCUUUCUUAAUUUCUAAGUAAAGCAUGUUUCAUGACUAUAUAUAUGUAUAAAACUCAUUAUACUUUUCAUAGUAAGAAAAAAUGUGACAACAUAAUAAUUUCGUAAAAUAAAUGUUUUAAACAAUAAACCUAAAAAAUGUGAGGAGGGUAAUUUUGUAAUAUGGAGGAAGUGAGAGGGUGUUUCCAAAUCUAAAAUUAUGAUUCAAACUUUUUAAAAAAUAUAUAUAAAAAGUUUUUGCUAUUAUAUAACGGUCGGAUACGGGAUCUGAACAGCGGCGUUUAGACUCCAACCGUAAAAAAGGCCGUCCUCCUCACUUAUUCAACCGUAACGCCGUCACACUUUCAAUUUAUAGCUUUCAAAUCUAUUUAAACGCACAAUAUAACAUAUCCACAGUCUCUUCUCUUUCUCACUCCUUUUUUAGCCUCUUAUCAUUCUCAUAUAAAUAAAUUAAAUUUUUUCUUAAAAAAAUCCAUUUUCACUCUCUCUAGAAAUUGUCGCCAUUGUUGCAGAGAAUCUCUUGCUCUUAAGAGGCUUUUCAAUUUUUUUCCCCUUCCAGAAGGCCGGCUUUUGAAUAAUCUAUAGCUUUAAAGUAAGUUACUUCAUCGGUGUUUAUCUGAAAAUUUUUCAGAUUUUUCUCUCUUCAGAUUUUGGUCAUUGUUGAGCUCAAUUCUUUGGAUCCACCUCUGAUUCGUCAAUGUAUAUGUAAAUUUCAACAAAAAAAUAAAUUCUCUUCAUAAAAUUUUUAGUGUAUUCGGAACUUUUUGCUGGUAUUUUUUUUAUAGCUAAGAGCUUCACAUUGUACUCUGAUAAUUUUUUAGUGUUUAAUAUUGAAGGCAUUGAGUUUUGUUAAUGAUUAAUGAAUGAGAUUCUUUGAACAAUUUUAUCUUUUUUGGAUUUUUUUUCUUCAGCAAGAGUAUUAUAAAAUUUUAUGCCAGUAAAAAGGAUAAAGAAAAAUCAUUUUUAUUGAGGAUUUUAGCUGGUAUUGUAUUAGCUUUUUUUUUCUUUUUCUUUUUUUUUUUUAAUUAUUGGUUUAGUUGACUCGGUGAGUUGUGUUGUUGUAUGUACUGAUUUAGGGAAAAAUUUCUGAGAUUGGAGUAGCAUUCAAAGCCAGAAUCAGAUGGAUUCUUUGCAGUCACAACAUAGAAGAGGGGGUCUGAUUUUGCUAUCGCCAUCACAGACUCCACGUUCCAGUGAUAAAACGGCUCGAGAUCCGCGAUCAGGGGAAUCUAAUUCCAGUAGCAAACAUGAUAAAGAAAAGGGCGUCAAUGUGCAAGUCAUUGUGCGUUGCAGGUCAGUUGAACCGUUAGAAUUUAGUAAUUUCGUAUUGUAAUUGGAGUAUUGAACUCUUAUUUGGAUGUAGCUAAUGAAUGGCAUUUCGCUAAUGAGUUAUAAAUUGACAGUUUACUCUGACAUUACGUCAUCUUUUUAGGUUGCAUUAAAUGCGAAGUUGAUUAAUGUGGAGUAUGUUAAGUAAUUGGUAUUUUUCCUUUUGCAGGCCGUUGAGUGAAGAUGAGAUGAGAGUACAUACUCCAGUAGUUGUCUCUUGUAAUGAGGGUAAAAGGGAAGUUUCAGCUGUUCAGAAUAUUGCUAACAAGCAUAUCGACAGAACCUUUCUAUUUGACAAGGUGUGGCCCUUUUUGUUUCUGUUCCUUAAUGUGUGCUAUUUGGUCCUUUAGAAAGUUAGGGGAUUGCAGACUUGAUAUCCCUGUAACAAUGGUUAUAACAUCAAAUAAUUCGUUUAGGUUUUUGGCCCAACAUCCCAACAAAAAGACUUGUAUGACUUGGCAGUGUCUCCAAUCGUGUAUGAAGUUCUUGAAGGUUAUAACUGCACCAUCUUUGCUUAUGGUCAGACAGGGACAGGGAAGACAUACACAAUGGAAGGAGGAGCAAGGAAAAAGGUUUGAUUUUGCAGAACAUGUUGGGGUAUACAUAUAAAUGUAUAUAUAUAUAUUAUUCCUUGUUUUCUCUCUCUAAUUAUUUCCAAUUCUAUUCAUUCUUUCGCAGAAUGGGGAAUUUCCAAGUGAUGCCGGUGUCAUCCCUAGAGCAGUUAAACAAAUUUUUGACAUAUUAGAAGCUCAGAAUGCUGAGUAUAGCAUGAAAGUUACAUUUUUAGAGCUGUACAAUGAGGAAAUAACUGAUCUUUUGACCCUGGAGGAAACUUCAAAAUUUAUAGAUGACAAAUCUAAGAAACCUAUAGCUCUUAUGGAAGAUGGAAAAGGGGGUGUUUUUGUAAGAGGCUUGGAAGAAGAGAUUGUUUGUACUGCAAAUGAAAUUUACAAAAUAUUGGAGAAGGGUUCAGCAAAAAGGCGCACAGCAGAAACUUUACUUAACAAGCAAAGUAGUCGUUCUCACUCGAUAUUUUCCAUCACCAUCCACAUUAAAGAAUGUACUCCUGAGGGUGAAGAGAUGAUCAAAUGUGGGAAACUGAAUCUUGUUGACCUUGCUGGUUCAGAAAAUAUUUCACGUUCUGGUGCACGGGAGGUAUUACAGCCAACUCUGCUCUCUGUACACAUUGAUGUAAUCAGGAUGAGAUCCAUAUGCAUUCCAUGAGUUUUAUAUGCACAAGUCGAGUUGAAAUUUCUGCAAAAUUUUGCUUUCGAUUUUAUCCUUGAUGUUGCAAUGCAUGCUUCUGAUGAACAUGGCUCUUGCAGGGCAGAGCAAGGGAAGCAGGGGAGAUUAAUAAGAGCUUGCUUACACUUGGUCGUGUGAUCAAUGCUCUUGUUGAUCAUUCUGGUCAUGUACCAUACAGGUAUUAUUAUUUAUAAAAAGGAUGGUAAUUCUCAAUAGCAUCAUUUUGGUGUUUGCAAACCCAAAAGUGAUAAAAAUGGAAAUAUUGGCAUGGAAUUCCAGGGAUAGCAAACUAACAAGGCUGUUGAGGGAUUCAUUGGGAGGGAAAACAAAGACAUGCAUAAUUGCCACUAUAUCACCCUCUAUUCAUAGUCUGGAUGAAACGCUUAGCACUCUAGAUUAUGCACAUCGUGCCAAGAAUAUCAAGAACAGACCAGAGGUCUGUGUUACUAAACGCACUGUUUGUGUUACUUGCUUAUUCGUGUGUAACAAUGCUAAUUUUAUGAAGUUAUCUUAUUUUACAACAUGCUUCACUGUUGGUUAUUAUCUCAGAUCAAUCAGAAGAUGAUGAAGUCUGCAAUGAUAAAGGAUCUGUACUCUGAAAUUGACCGGCUGAAGCAAGGUAGUUUACUGCUUCCUGCAAAAUUUUUCACCAAUGCAGCUAAGAUAUUUUCAGAUGGUUGACCUUGAAAAAUAACCAGUAUAAAUGUAUCAAUUUAUCUUUCUUAUUUGUUUAGAGGUAUAUGCUGCAAGAGAAAAAAAUGGAAUUUAUAUACCACGAGAUCGCUAUCUCCAAGAUGAAGCUGAAAAGAAGGUUCAGUUCUUACCAUAUUAAUUAGAUGAUGUCCCUGUAACUGAGUUCUAUGAAAUAAUUUUUUUAUCCGUCUUCUUCCAGGCAAUGGCUGAAAAAAUAGAGCGCAUGGAACUUGAAUCAGAAUCCAAGGACAAGGUAUAUUCCAUCAAGGUUGCAUUCUCCAGCUCUUUUCAAGUUGAAUGUGAAAAACCUGACUAAUUAUUUUGCAUUCACUUUUGAUCAGCAAAUAAUGGAGCUUCAGGAACUCUACAAUUCUCAGCUACUAUUGACAGCAGAAUUAAGUGAGAAACUUGAAAAAACUGAGGUAACUAUAUUAUGUUUUCAGCUGACAGCCUUUCCUGCUCAUCAUGUACAAGAUUUGAAGUUACUGCCUUAAUUGUAAAUCCAGAACAAGCUUGGGGAAACUGAAAAUUCAUUGUUUGAUCUCGAAGAAAAACACAGACAGGCAAAUGCAACAAUAAAAGAGAAGGAGUUUCUGAUAUCUAAUCUCCUCAAAUCAGGUAAGCUGAGAUGUCUUGUGCUUAAUCUUGUUUUUCAUUUCCUGCGUUCUUUCUGCCUGUCCUUUCAGCAGAAGUCUUUCUUGCUUUUCAUUGUGCCUUCUUUUCAUUUUUUAGGUUCUACAUUGUCCUGCUUGCAGUUUGAUAUUAUUUACCCAUUGGAACUGAGAACUUAAUUUCCUUGAAAUGAUUUUUUUUUUGUUUAUACAGUUUUCAAUAAGUUUGGGAUUAGACUUUAGUUGCUUUUGUUGUUGUUGUAUACACUUUGAAAUUCGAAUACAAGUCCUUUGGAUGUUGUACAAUUGGCCAGCUUAACAAUAAUGACCUCUGUCAUCUUUCAGAGAAGGCCCUCGUUGAACGUGCAUUUGAGCUUCGAGCAGAACUAGAAAAUGCUGCAUCAGAUAUAUCCAAUUUAUUUGCCAAAAUUGGUGUGUUUUAGUUUGAAAGUUGACUUUGUUUUGUGGUGCCAUUUUUCAUAAAAGUACUGGCUAUUUAUAUCUGAUAAUGGUUGGUUUCAGAGCGAAAAGAUAAAAUCGAAGAUGGAAACAGAGUACUCAUCCAGAAAUUUCAGUCCCAAUUGACCCAGCAGCUUGAGAUCUUGCAUAGGACUGUCGCAACUUCAGUGACACAACAAGAGCAGCAACUGAAAGAUAUGGAGGAAGACAUGCAGUCUUUUGUGUCAACAAAGGCUGAGGUAAAAUCAGACAAGAUAUUAACUUGCAUCUUUGUAGUAGAACGUCUUAUAAGUUUAAUUUUUGUAAGCGUAAAGGCUACUGAAGGACUUCAAGGAAAGGUCGGAAAACUGAAAACCAUGUAUGGAUCUGGUAUCCAAGCAUUGGAUGAAAUGGCUAAGGAGCUUGAGGGAAAUUCUAGGUCCACUUUUGUUAAUCUAAAUUCUGAAGUUUCCAAGCACUCGCAUGCUCUUGAGGGUGUAAGUUCCUAAUAGCUUCACUUUUAGUAAACUUCAGAAGUUCACUCUCUGACCUGAAUUAUACUUGAUUCAGCUUUUCCAAGGAAUUGCUUCAGAAGCUGAUGCACUGCUAAAUGAUCUCCAAAGUAGUCUCCAUAUUCAAGAAGAGAAGCUAACUAUGUUCGCAAAACAGCAAUGUCAGGUUUGUAAAUUCCAAGUGCAUGUUCCUCUUUUUAGGAACUGUUUAGAUUUUUGUCAAAUCCAAGUGAAUGAUCCCUUUUGUGGUGUAGGCACAUUCCAGAGCAGUGGAAACUGCACGAUCAGUUUCUAAAAUAACUGUGAACUUCUUCAAGACUCUAGACAUGCAUGCAUCCAACCUGACCCACAUUGUGGAAGAAGCACAAACAGUCAAUGAUAAAAAAUUGUCAGAACUAGAAAGGAAGUUUGAGGUAGCUACACUGUUUUCUAAAAAUACGUGGACCAUUUUGUAAGGGAUUUUUCUUUUGCUUGUUAAUACUGAUUUGUACCCAUAGGAGUGUGCUGCUAAUGAGGAAAGGCAAUUGUUGGAAAAGGUGGCAGAGCUUCUUGCAAAUUCAAAUUCAAGAAAGAAAAAACUGGUAUGAGUCACUUUCUAGUGUUGAAUGACUAGUUUUAUGUUGUAGAUCUCAUUGGGUUCCCCCCUGAGAUCGUUCAACUUUGAAGUGGUAACUUUAGUGCAUAUUCUUUAGGUACAAACAGCAGUGCAUGAUCUCCGGCAGAGUGCAAACAGUAGAACCAACGAACUACAGAAAGAAAUGUCAACCAUGCAGGAUUCAACAUCUUCUGUUAUGGCUGAAUGGACAGUCCACAUGGAUAAAACAGAAACCAACUAUCUUGAGGACACUUCUGCAGUGGAGAGUGGAAAGAGGGACAUGGAAGAUGUUCUUCAUAACUGGUAUGGGCUAGACUAAGGUUGUAAAAUAAGUUAUUUAAGAGCUAUUUGAGACUCGACUCAAUAAAAACUCGAACAAAGCUGAGCUUGAGCUCAAAUUUUAGACUCGUCUAACAAACGAACUAAGUUUGAGUUCAACAGUAUUUGGCUUGUUGAACAGACUUGCGAACAAGCUCGUUGAGCAGGUUCGUUAGUGUAGUUUAUGAGUUGGCAAGUGAGCAAGCAUGUCUAUGAGACUUGCAUAGGUUCAAUAAUAGACUCAUUUAUAAACUCGUUAAGUAGGCUCACGAAUUAGAUCAUUUGUGAUUCACACAAAUUCUCAUAUUAGUUUUGUAUUUUAUAAAUUUUUAGUUAUAUUUAUUUUAAUAUUGAUUUUUCUAAAUAUAAUAUACUGCUUAAAAUUAUAUUAUAAUUAUUAUAAAAAUAUAUAUUUAUAAAUAUAAUUAUUUAUAAUUUAAUUUUAAAUCGUAAUAAAAAUCAAGUUAAUGCUAUGACUAUACGAGUAAUAAGUUUAGUAAUUAGCAUAUUAGAUAAUAAAUAUGUUCUUCAUAUAAGCUAAUAAAUAGAUAAUAAUUAUGUAAUGUUAUAAAUAUUCUUUAAUAAGGAAGUUAUUAAAUACUCUCUCAAUUAUGGCAUAAGUAAUAUUAUCUUAAAUACUCUCUCAAAUUGUAAUAUAUAUUUGUAUUAUUUCUCUCUUAAUUUUUAGACUUUUAAGAAAUUAAAUAAUAUUAAACUAUAUAACUAUAUAAUAUUAAACUAUAUAUUCCUCUCUUUGAACUUUGAAUCUAAUAUCAAGUUUGAAAAUUAUUUUUUCACUCUAAAUCGAUAUACUUUUAUAUAGUUAAUUCAACUCAUUAUUAUAUGAUGUUGAACUUAUAUUAGAUAUAUUUUAUACAAUCAAUUAAAGGUUCUAAUUAGCAUUUGAGUUAAUAACCGCUAAUAUUUAAAUUUGCAAAUAAUAAUAAUAAUAAUAAUAAUAAUAAUAAUAAUAGAUGUUGAAACCUUAAAACAUUUAAAUAAUUAAUAUAUUAUCAUAUAGUUACCUUUUAAAUUAACUUUUUAUAUAUAAUUUCAAUAGAGUAAUUUAUGCACUCAUAUUAAAACAACGAAUCUAAAGAAGAAAGAAAUUAAAUAUUUAUAUAUAGAAAAGAAUAGAAAAUCAAAAAGAAAAUAAAUUAAGGCUCUGUCUGUUUGCAGAAAAUACUUUGUACGAAAAUAUUUUCCCGAGAUAAUUUAUUUUCCAUUAUUUAAUUUUACUUAAAAAAAUGCAAUUUAUUAAUAAAUUUAUAUAUAAAUGUCUUAAUAAGUAUAUCAAUGUGUGGAAAAUGUUUUUUUCUUUUUAAAAGAGCAAGUCAUUUUUCUUAAAAUGACUUAUUUUUUUCUUUAAUCAAGAAAAUAUUUUUCAUUGAUUAAAUUUUCUGAAUGUCCCAAACUUUAAAAAAUAUGGAAAAUAUUUUCUUUCCGUGAAACAACCGGAGCCUAAAAGAAUAUUACGUUUACUUGGACUGGAAUUGAACUCAAGCAAAGCAAAACACCUUAAUUUUAAUGCACCUCUAGGCCACAAAGAAUAAUUUGGUAUCCUUUCCACGUCCCAAUAAAUAUAGGCAAAUUUUAAGUGCUAAACCCAUUUCCAACCAAUCCCACAUUGGAAAUUUAGCUUCUUCAUAAAAAGACAAUCCCCUUUCCUACUUUUUCACAUGGUUUGAAAUCAAAAUUUUGGAUUUUAGAUACUUUAAUUAAGUUAACAUUUUUAAAGUCUCUUUAAUGAUCUCUUACUUUAAUAUUUAUUUUUAAAAAGUCGAGCUCGAGUUUGACUUGUUUAUAAUUUAAACGAGCUCGAAUUCGAGCUUGGCUUGUUUACAAUUUGAUCAAGCUCAAACUCGAGUUUUUUGGAUAUGUCGACUAGUAGAGCUCGAGGAGCGAUCUUGCUGUGAUAAAUGAGCUCGAGCUUGAGCUUGUUAAUGGGAUAAAUGAGCUCUUCAAGAAUUGAGCUCGAGCUCUCACAUAUAAGUUUUGCUCUACUCGUUACAAUAACACCUUUAUGGGCUACUUUUUCAUCAAAUAACUCCGCUUUUUGGUCCAGAUUAGUAAUGGCUGUCUAGUUUCUUUUCUGAAUUUAUUGCUUGCAAAUCUGUGCAGUUUGAACAAGGCGAGAAUGGGUGCACAACAGUGGAAGGACGCUCAACAUUCCUUGCUCGACCUAGAAAAGGGCAAUGUUGCUUCUGUGAAUUCCAUUAUUGGGUACGUCACUUCCUAUGAGUGUCAUUUUGGCUUUUCAUUCUAGAUCAUUAACUUAAUUCCUUGUGUCACUUUAGUGGAGGGAUGGAGGCCAAUCAAGUUCUAUGCACGCGAUUUUCAUCUGCCGUAUCAGCUGCACUUGAAGAUGUAGAUGUUGCAAACAAUAAUUUGCUCUCAUCAAUCGAUUGUCAGUAUCCAUUUCAUAUUUAGGGAUUAAAGUUUAUCUUAUGCUGCUUCUGUCCACUGAUGAACAAAAUGCUUGCAGAUUCACUAAAACUUGACCAUGAUGCUUGUAGAAAUCUCAAUUCCUUGAUUUUCCCUUGUUGUGAAGAUAUGAGGGAAUUGAAAGGUGAUCAUCACCAAAAGAUUGUAGAAAUUACAGAUAAUGCUGGGAAAUAUCUUCAGGAUGAAUACACGGUAAGAAUAGUUCCAUCGCGUGAACACAAAUUUUACUCAUUGUCAUUUUCGAGUUCAUCAAAUACUGUUGUGGCUGUGGUGAUUCCACAUGUUUUGUUCCUUCUGCAACAUCUUGAAAAAAACUGCCAAAUGUUGAUAAACUGAGAACAUAGACACUAGACAGUUGCUGUACUUUGUGAGCUAGCUAAUGUUAUUAACGUUUCAACUUCGUAGGUGGACGAACCAUCUUGUUCAACGCCAAGAAAGAGGUCAUUCAAUCUGCCAAGUGUCACGUCAAUCGAUGAACUGCGAACUCCAGCUUUUGAGGAACUGUUAAAAUCAUUCUGGGAAACAAAGUAUGCAAAGCAAGCAAAUGGAGAUAUUAAAAAUUUGGCAGCAGCAUAUGAAGCUUUGAGGGACUCUAGAGUUCCACUAACUGCAAUUAAUUAAAGUUUAAAAAGAUGGAACACGACAGGUAGUAGUAAGAGGAUGUGUACAGAAUACNNNNNNNGAUGUGGAGUUGGAGUAUGAGAUUUCUCUUGCCUAUCGUAUUCAUUGAUUGUUUGCUUAAAGAAAGUUCAUUGUGGAUGUAGAAAUAUAUAGUAGAUUUUUUUUUUCAUAUUUUAUUUUUUAUUUUGUUUCACCGAGACUCUGCUUUCUCGGCAACAGUUGUUCAUUAAUUAGAAAAAUUCUGUGGAAAUUGGAAAAAUUUGAGAAAGAUAUGAACAGCUAUACGAAUUCAUGGCAUACACUUGCUGCCUGCAAAUCUAUGAGAACUUUAUGGCUGUUGUACUGCAAAUGUAGAUGUUCCAUGGAUACGUAUCAGUUCAAAUAUCAAUCUGAUCAAGGAAGCGAUUGCAAAUUACAAUUAUUUUUUCAACUGAUGCUGCUUAUUUUGCUACUUAAUUAAUCAGUAUUUAUUUAGUUGAUAAAUAUUUAUUAUAUUAAAGUUUAAUAACCAAAAAAAUAUGAACUUUCAUACUCUUUUCAAAUCUAGCUAAUUCCUUUUUUUUUUAUUAAAUUCUAUAUGCUAACUUUAAAAUUUAUAUCAAUUUUGGUAUAGGCAGUUAAAUACUUAGAGAAAUAAUCGGAUAUGGUACCAAAGAUAUAUAAAAUUAUUAAACAAUCAAUUAAAUAUUUGACUAGACUUAAUAAUACAAAACUCGCCGUUUAUACUAAUUCUGUUACAACUAUCUAUUUAAUAAUUUCUUAAUCAUAGUUGAGCCUAUUUCUUCCAUCUUUUGUUUUUUUUGCUCUCUUUCAUUUCAUUUUCCUUCUAAAGUUUUUAUGUUUUAACAACCAUGGAUGGUGGUGCAUCGUAUGGUCCACAUCUUUAGGGAUUUUAAGAAGUGUAGAGCUGGCAUGAUUAACUCUCACUGCUAAUGUUAAAGUUCUAUCCAUAGUGCGAUCUUGAGAAAGCAAGAUCUUUCCUAUGUGGAUUUCUUAGUGAGAAAUGGGAUGUUAAUAUUGGGGUCUCUUUGUAACGGAUGCACUCUGUUUGGUAGGAACAGAAUAAAGUAAAGUUCUCUAAAGUAUAAAAUUUUUCAUAGUUUUUAAACAUUGUUUAAAAAGAAGAGAAGAAUUUUUAAUUGUUUAGAAAAAAGAAAAAAAUUUUAAAGAUAGUUGAAGAUUUUCAAGAGAAUUGGUGAGUUGAAAUUGAAGUUUUUUGAAAACCUUCGGAAAAUGUGCUUUAAAAAUUAUGCUCCCCUCCAAACACAAGUUUCAGAUUUUUUUUUUGUUUUUUUUUUACCAUGAUCCAUGGUUACUUGCUGUGGCCUUUUAUGUUGAGAUUGCGAUGGGACAUACAAGAAUCAACUAUACAGUACAAUUUUAUAUAAAUCUGUGAGUUGGUAUGAGCCGUUAAUUUUGUUUUGUUCAGUUCAAUCGGCAAUUUAAUUGAUUUUGCCACAUUAAGCAUUUAGUGGAAAAUUCAUCUCAUACCAAAACUGAUAUAAAUUUUAAAGUUGGCAUGUAAAAUUGAAAAAUCACUUUUUAUUAUGCUUUUUAUACGUAACGACUCUUCAUUACGUAGAGAAGAACGUUAAACCAGUCGAAGGCUUAUUAAUUUGGAGGACAAUUAUAUUAUUCCUAGCAAAAAAAAUCAAGAAACACUUGCAGCUCUGACCAGUGAACAACAGUUCAAACACAAUAUGCAUUAACGAAAAAAGCUAAUACUCUUCCUUGAUUUACCAUUUAUCUAAACCAUAUGUACAGCUAGCCAAGGUUUUAUAAUGCCUCACUACACAAUCCUCCAAAUGAACUAUAAAUCAUUUAGGCAAAAAUGAAAACAUUAUAUAGACUAAGGUGGGGAAAAUUAGAACCAUAUAAGAAUCCACCUGUAAUGAAUAUAUUUCUAAGCCGCAACAAAUAUCUCUUGCUAUUCUACAUUGUGCAUUGAAUCAAUAUACACUUAACCUUUACCGUAUAGCACACGCCCUGAAGUGAACUAACCAUGAUUUCUGACAUAGACCGAGACUGCUCAAGCCUGCAAAACACAGUGAAGCUCUCCUCUUUAGAGAACUCUAUACAACUUGAAAUCAAGCAUAGGAAAAGGAUCAUGUACUCAUACUAUAUGAUAAGAUAAUGCUCCAUUUAGAUGCAAAAUAACCGAGAUUUCUGCUUAAAGAAUUUAGUCACUUUUUUCUGUUGAGAAAAGGCUAAUCACUCAACUGUUUGAUCUCACUUCUAUUAAUCCUAAAUGGGUUUUAUUUGGACAGUAUCCAAAUAUUCGUCCAUUUGGCGGAUAGUGUCAAUAUUCCCACUCAGACCAAGAUGUUGACCAUAUAAUGGUUCAGGAGUUCAACUGUACAAUCUCUCAAAACUACUCUUCAGGGAGUUGCUAUUACGAAACCUAGGUCACUAUAAUGUAUAUAAUCAAUCCUCUUAAAAGCUCAGCAUUUUAAAUAACCCAAGCUUUUUGGGAAAGACUGCUAUAAGCUAAACAUAGCCACUAGAAGAACACCUUGAAGCAAAACCCCAGGCUUCACAAUGGACCAGACCAAAAUGAUCCUUCCAGAAACGCCCAGGACAGCAAGCCUUCAACUUGACAAAAUAUGCUAUGCUGUAGAGAAUAAUUUUUCAUUUUCUUUGCCAAUCCCCAAGAAGUUUCUACUAGAGGCAUCUUUGUCAAAGAAUUACAACUCAAUAUUUCAUACAAAGCCAUUAUCCAAUUAUGGCACUUCAAGCAAAGUAUUGCGCCAUAUUCAAACAACAGAGCCAGACCCUAUUACUCUUAACUAGUUAUGAAUGAAACAAAUGCUCCUAAUGCAUUAGGACAAUAUUCUUGAUGACAGAUUACAUACAAACUAAACUAUCAUGUUAUAAAGGGACUUGACUGAAAGAUAGUUACAUUUUCAAGGUAUUAAAAAGCAAAAAU
rnacentral:lncRNA from 1 species